rnacentral:rRNA from 1 species
UACGUAGGGUGCAAGCGUUGUCCGGAAUUAUUGGGCGUAAAGAGCUCGUAGGCGGUUUGUCGCGUCUGCUGUGAAAACUCGAGGCUCAACCUCGGGCUUGCAGUGGGUACGGGCAGACUAGAGUGCGGUAGGGGUGACUGGAAUUCCUGGUGUAGCGGUGGAAUGCGCAGAUAUCAGGAGGAACACCGGUGGCGAAGGCGGCUUCUUGGGCCGUUCCUGACGCUGAGGCGCGAAAGCUGGGGGAGCGAACGGG